rnacentral:rRNA from 1 species
GUCCACGCUGUAAACGAUGAGUGCUAGAUAUCGGGAAAUUUAUUUUUCGGUUUCGCAGCUAACGCAUUAAGCACUCCGCCUGGGGAGUACGAUCGCAAGAUUAAAACUCAAAGGAAUUGACGGGGGCUCGCACAAGUGGUGGAGCAUGCGGUUUAAUUCGAUGCUACGCGAAAACCUUACCAACCCUUGACAUGGUGGUCGCGGGUUCCAGAGAUGGAUCCCUUCAGUUCGGCUGGACCACACACAGGUGUUGCAUGGCUGUCGU